rnacentral:rRNA from 1 species
CAAUAGCGUAUAUUAAAGUUGUUGCGGUAAAAAAGCUCGUGGUUGGAUUUCUACCGAAGAUAGCCGGUCGGGUCUUCGACCUUGUAUCUGGUUUUGUCUUUGGUAUCCUCAUAGUGAACGUUUCUGCGCUUUAUUGCGUGGUGCGGUAUCUAUGACUUUUACUUUGAGGAAAUUAGAGUGUUCACGGCAGGCAAACGCCUUGAAUAUAUUAGCAUGGAAUAAUAACAUAGGAUCUUCGUCCUAUUUUGUUGGUUUCUAGGGCUAAGAUAAUGAUUAAUAGGGAUAAUUGGGGGCAUCUGUAUCAACGCGUCAGAGGUGGAAUUCUUGGAUUGCGUUGCGACAAACUACUGCGAAAGCAUUUGCCAAGGAUGUUUUCAUUGA